UUUGUAAAACAGGGUAGCGCUGAGUCUUUCCAUAGCAAGGCAGCACAUAAUUGACCCAAAAAGGACCAGCAGCCAUACGUUAUUCUCAAAGAUGGGCAGCACCAAAUCUCUUUCCAUGAAGGGCACCGAAUCCAUGCAAACCUACCGCAAGAGACAAGACCCACCGAACUACAAAGGCUUUUCUUUCCAAAAGCUUGGCAGCACAAAAGGAUCAAACACAUGAUUUCUUUCCAUGGUCAAUUCCAGAGAAGAACAAGGCUGGCUAAGUCGACGCUAUCUGGUGGCCAAAAUGGGAAUCGGGUUACACCACAUGGGUGGAUGGAUCCACCUUGGACGUCUGGCUCGGGCCUAAGAUCCACCGACUCCCCUCGGUGGAUUCUGGGUGGAAUCUCUUCGUUGCCGCUGCCUUAGAAGUCCAGAACCUUCCGGGUGAGUCUCUCCAUUGCCAUUGUCUCGGAAGUUCGGGAGCCUCGGAAAUCCCCAUCUCCUUCUCAUCAAAACUAAGAACAUUAGUUUUUCCUGUAGGAACAAUUACGGGACAACACACUACUCGUGUAAUCACUCCAUCUCGGCUUCCUUGCUUGCAAGCAAUCGCGAUUCUCGGCCUUCCUGUCAAGAACUGAAUCGAGCGGGUUGGGUCGGAUGUUGUCCAUGGUGCCCGGUUCCAAAUCUGGUUCAGGCUUUGGUGAGUCACAGCCAGAGCUCGGUUCCAUGGACAUGAGCCAGUUGAGAAGAUGGUGCGGGUCCGGGCAUGCUUUGAGAUGUCUAUGAUCUUGAAAUGCUCCAGGUUCGGUUAGGAGAAGAGAUCUUGAACAGGACUGGAUCGGGUAGAAUCGCCGGUUCUUCUUUCUCUACAUUCCAAGGAAUCUCCCAUUGGUGACGAAGUUUCGGGUUUAGUCAUUAUCUUGGAGGUCCAGUACCUUCUAACCCAUCACCCACGAUGAACAGGGGCUCAUCACGGGCAAUCACUGUUCCGUCGGGAUUCUGUCCAUCAUCAACAGAGUUGUCCUUCGCCUGAAGAUCUCCGGAAGAAAACAAUACAGUUCGGGGCUCCAACGUUUUACUGUGCGAAGGUCCGAAGUGCCGGGGAAUCCACGGGCUCCACGUGGUUGCCUCUUCUUCUUUUCUUCUUUUGUUUUUUCUUCUUCUUGACCCAUCUUUUCUUUUUCCUGGGCCUUUAUUUUCUUCUCUUUUUGAUGUAGCUUUUUGGGGUCCGAAGAAACAACACAGACUCAGGUUUUCUCUGAGCGUAGAUCAGCACCGAUUUGGUGUGAUUAGAUUCAGAUCUGAGAUCACAGAAAUCUUUGUCUAUUGGCGAAGAGAGAUUUUCAGAUUUGAUUUUAUCACGCAGUCACCGUUGCGGAUUUAUUUUUGAGAGAACUAAGUCGAGUUCCCACAGAUGGCGCCAAACUGUUGGUACAGUUUCCGGUCAUUGAGAGAGCAAUUGAGGUUUUGAGGCAAAAAGGUUGAAAAUUCAGAUUUUUUGGAAAUGAGCUCGAGCAUAACCCUGUUGAGUUCGAGCGCACGUGCCCA